rnacentral:tRNA from 1 species
GGGGAUUUAACUCAGUGGUAGAGUGCUUGCCUAGCAAGCGCAAGGCCCUGGGUUCGGUCCCCAGCUCCA